CAAUGUUCUGAACGAACAUAACCUCAAAAUGGCUGAUCAGUUAAGAUCGAGCAUGGAAUAUAAUCAAAAAGCGAUUGACAGUUUAUAAAAUUUCCGCUAAAUAUAAGACUUCGGAGAAGUCCGAAAAAGGUUCUGCAAAUACGUCGAGGAAAAGCUAUUCAAGGGAGAGGUCGACAAGAAUCCCAGAAAUUAUCCAAAAUGUCUAAGAGUUGAUCGCAGGAGACCCAUGGCAAUCUCUCAGGAAAUUGGCGACAAUUUUGGAUGAUAUCCUAAUGUGGCAUCUCAUCAGGCCGCUAAUGAAGCAGCAUUCUUCAAUAUGGACAAGUCGGCUUUGCAGAAAGCGUGCAAUCGCUCCAGGCCCAGGAUUAAGGCAAUAACUGCGGCAGAUGUUGAUUACAUUGAGUAAUUUUUGUUUAUAACGGUUC